rnacentral:rRNA from 1 species
UACGAAGGGGGCUAGCGUUGUUCGGAAUUACUGGGCGUAAAGGGCGCGUAGGCGGCUUCGAUAGUCGGGUGUGAAAUGCCUGGGCUCAACCCAGGAACUGCACUCGAAACUUCGAGGCUAGAGUGUGGGAGAGGAUAGUGGAAUUCCCAGUGUAGAGGUGAAAUUCGUAGAUAUUGGGAAGAACACCGGUGGCGAAGGCGGCUAUCUGGACCACAACUGACGCUGAGGCGCGAAAGCUAGGGGAGCGAACUGG